rnacentral:rRNA from 1 species
AGAGUUUGAUCAUGGCUCAGAUUGAACGCUGGCGGCAGGCCUAACACAUGCAAGUCGAGCGGUAGCACAGAGAGCUUGCUCUCGGGUGACGAGCGGCGGACGGGUGAGUAAUGUCUGGGAAACUGCCUGAUGGAGGGGGAUAACUACUGGAAACGGUAGCUAAUACCGCAUAAUGUCGCAAGACCAAAGUGGGGGACCUUCGGGCCUCAUGCCAUCAGAUGUGCCCAGAUGGGAUUAGCUAGUAGGUGGGGUAACGGCUCACCUAGGCGACGAUCCCUAGCUGGUCUGAGAGGAUGACCAGCCACACUGGAACUGAGACACGGUCCAGACUCCUACGGGAGGCAGCAGUGGGGAAUAUUGCACAAUGGGCGCAAGCCUGAUGCAGCCAUGCCGCGUGUGUGAAGAAGGCCUUCGGGUUGUAAAGCACUUUCAGCGGGGAGGAAGGCGUUAAGGUUAAUAACCUUGGCGAUUGACGUUACCCGCAGAAGAAGCACCGGCUAACUCCGUGCCAGCAGCCGCGGUAAUACGGAGGGUGCAAGCGUUAAUCGGAAUUACUGGGCGUAAAGCGCACGCAGGCGGUCUGUCAAGUCGGAUGUGAAAUCCCCGGGCUCAACCUGGGAACUGCAUUCGAAACUGGCAGGCUAGAGUCUUGUAGAGGGGGGUAGAAUUCCAGGUGUAGCGGUGAAAUGCGUAGAGAUCUGGAGGAAUACCGGUGGCGAAGGCGGCCCCCUGGACAAAGACUGACGCUCAGGUGCGAAAGCGUGGGGAGCAAACAGGAUUAGAUACCCUGGUAGUCCACGCCGUAAACGAUGUCGAUUUGGAGGUUGUGCCCUUGAGGCGUGGCUUCCGGAGCUAACGCGUUAAAUCGACCGCCUGGGGAGUACGGCCGCAAGGUUAAAACUCAAAUGAAUUGACGGGGGCCCGCACAAGCGGUGGAGCAUGUGGUUUAAUUCGAUGCAACGCGAAGAACCUUACCUGGUCUUGACAUCCACAGAACUUUCCAGAGAUGGAUUGGUGCCUUCGGGAACUGUGAGACAGGUGCUGCAUGGCUGUCGUCAGCUCGUGUUGUGAAAUGUUGGGUUAAGUCCCGCAACGAGCGCAACCCUUAUCCUUUGUUGCCAGCGGUNCGGCCGGGAACUCAAAGGAGACUGCCAGUGAUAAACUGGAGGAAGGUGGGGAUGACGUCAAGUCAUCAUGGCCCUUACGACCAGGGCUACACACGUGCUACAAUGGCAUAUACAAAGAGAAGCGACCUCGCGAGAGCAAGCGGACCUCAUAAAGUAUGUCGUAGUCCGGAUUGGAGUCUGCAACUCGACUCCAUGAAGUCGGAAUCGCUAGUAAUCGUAGAUCAGAAUGCUACGGUGAAUACGUUCCCGGGCCUUGUACACACCGCCCGUCACACCAUGGGAGUGGGUUGCAAAAGAAGUAGGUAGCUUAACCUUCGGGAGGGCGCUUACCACUUUGUGAUUCAUGACUGGGGUGAAGUCGUAACAAGGUAACCGUAGGGGAACCUGCGGUUG